rnacentral:rRNA from 1 species
AUGGCACACCGGCUAUUAUAUUAUGGAGAAUGCUCAUACAUAAUUAAUCUAGAUGCCCAGACCGACCACAUCUCCUUGACUAAGCUUCCGUCUACGAUGAAUUCAAAUCGCAGGUGCCUUAGUCUAGCCAUGAAUGGGAAGCUAUCGCUGCUUUGUAUGUCAAGGAUAUCUCCCGGACUAAAGAUAUGGGAGCAACAAGAGAAUCAAGAAAAUAUGAACUCUGUCUCUGCGUCACAGUGGUUAUGCACCCAGACGAUCCAGCUAAAACUACCCGAGAAGGAGACUGGUAUAACAGAGCUAUGUCCUUUGAGAGAGAAGUGUGGUACAUGGAGGAGCAUCAACCACGUUACAUGCCACAACAUAUACAUAACUGAAGAACCUACAUACUGCGUAGCAGGAUAA